AUUGAACGCUGGCGGUAUGCUUAACACAUGCAAGUCGAACGGUAACAUAGGAGCUUGCUCCUGAUGACGAGUGGCGGACGGGUGCGUAACGCGUGGGAAUCUACCUUGUAGUGGGGGAUAGCCCGGAGAAAUCCGGAUUAAUACCGCAUAAUCUCUACGGAGGAAAAGGGGCCUCUCCUUGGAAGCUCUUGCUAUUAGAUGAGCCCGCGUUAGAUUAGCUAGUUGGUGAGGUAAUGGCUCACCAAGGCGACGAUCUAUAGCUGGUUUGAGAGGAUGAUCAGCCACACUGGGACUGAGACACGGCCCAG
rnacentral:rRNA from 1 species